rnacentral:rRNA from 1 species
AUUGAACGCUGGCGGCAGGCCUAACACAUGCAAGUCGAGCGGAGAGGCGGACGGGAGAGGAAUGACUAGGAAUCGGCCUGGUAGUGGGGGAUAACGUCCGGAAACGGGCGCUAAUACCGAAAACUAUCGGAUGAGCGUAGGUCGGAUUAGCUAGUUGGGGGGGUAAAGGCCUACCAAGGCGACGAUCAGAAACUGGUCAGCGAGGAUGAGCAGUCACACUGGAACUGAGACACGGUCCAGACUCCUACGGUCGGCAUCAGUGGGGAAUAUUGGACCAUUUGCGAAAGCCUGAUCCAGCCAUGCCGCGUGUGUUACGAAGGUCUUCGGAUUGUAAAGCACUUUAAGUUGGGAGGCGUUACCAACAGAAUAAGCACCGGCUAACUUCGUGCCAGCAGCCGCGGUAAUAC